AAAUGUCCAAGCCUAAUUUUCUGCUUGAUUUUUUGUCCCCUUAUAUAUAGUGCAGUGUACAUAAACCUUCAAAGGUAAUAAGAAAUGCUUAAGUUUUCCUGUUUACUGUUUACUGCUUUGAGAAAUGCUUAAGUUUUUUUCUAAUAGUAACUUUCUAGAUUAUGUUUGGAUUUUAACUUUUUAAUUUGCUUUUAUAUAAGAUGAUGCGAAUUCGCCGCAUGAUGUGUCUAGCAGUGAAAAUGGCAACGAUCGCUAGGAUUAGGAUAUGAUUGACUUUCAAAAUGGAAAUAGUGGACUACACGGAUCUAUGAUUAAAUGCCUGGGAUGUUGUUGUUGCUGUUGUCAAGGAAGGGCGAGCCCAAAAGCCGAUGCUGGUUCCGUUCUAGGGGAUGAUGAUCGUCAAGAAUAUUACUGGAUAAGCACAAGACUCACCACAUCAUAUAGUUUUGCCCGAACAACCACAACUUUAACAACAAAUAUGAUCUACUGCAGUUCAUGCCCAUAGCUUCUCUUUACGUUUAUUGUACAACCCGUGAGCUGGAAGAGCCUUCUUUUCACCACUUAACAAGAUUAAACUUAGCCGUUAGGAGCUACUAAUCUCAACGCCAUGUCACUAUUAUACUUUUUCCUCUGCAUGAGAAAACUAGAAAACUCUACUGUGUCUAUAAAUAUUAGAAAUAGACAGAUUCGUCGAUUAAGAAGCCAAACACAAAUGUCGCCCCUACUUCAAUAACAAAUACAAAUAGCAGCAGCCCAAGUAGCAAGUAUAGAUACUUCCGUGAUGAUAGUACAACACCACAUGCGGUCUCCGCCCCCAGCAUGACGACAAAUAGAGCAAUGCACUGAAUGACAAACAAAUCAAUACCAUCGCAUCGCUUAUCCAACUCUAUUUCUUCCUUCAUAAUAUUCGUUCUCCUCCUCUCAAAUGCCUCGAUUUUCAACUGAUUAUCAGUAGUAACGCACCCAGUAACUGAUGUUUGCACAUGGAUGCCUUACCACAAAUAAUCAGUUGAAAGUCGAGGCAUUUGAGAGAAGGAAGACGAAUAUUAUGAAAGAAGAAAUAGAGUUGGAUAAGCGAUGCGAUGGUAUUGAUUUGUUUAUCAUUCAGUGCAUUGCUCUAUUUGUUGUCAUGCUGGGGGCGGGGACCGCAUGUGGUGUUGUACUAUCGUCACGGUACUAUCUAUACUUGCUACUUGGGUUGCUGCUAUUUGCAUUUGUUAUCGAAGUAGGGGCAACAUCUGUGUUUGCCUUCUUAAUCGACGAAUCUGUCUAUUUCUAAUAUUUAUAGGCACAGUAGAGUUUCUCAUGCACAGGAAAAAAAUACAAUAGUGACAUGUCGUUGAGAUUAGUAGCUUAUAACGGCUAAGUUUAAUCCUUGUUAAGUGGUGAAAAGAAGGCUCUCCCAGCUACAAGGUUGUACAAUAAACGUAAAGAGAAGUUAUGGGCACGACUGCAGUAGAUCAUCUUUGUUGCUAAACUUGUGGUUGUCGCCGAUUGGAUUGCAUUCUUGGCGGUCUGCGGUUGAGCUGUGGAUCAUACGAGAGAUACCACUUUGGAAUUCUGGUCAUGUGUGCAGUUGCGAGUGUGGCCUAUAUGCUAGCUAUUGGUCUAUUUUAUGCACACAGAUGAUAAAAGGCCUAUGAGAGCUACAUAGUCGCAUUGUAUGUUUGCAGACAGAGAAAAUGGGUCUUUCUUUCACCGAUCUUUUCAGUUACUGUUUGACGAGGAUAUGCGAAUGAAUUCUUAUGGGAGAGGUCUUGUAUAAACUCAAAUUGGGAGAAAUAGUGACAAUCAUUCCUAUAAUCGGUACGCCUUUUUUCUAUAUCAUGUUUUCUCUGUAUUGUUAUGCAAUAUUAUGAAGAUAAGUGUUUGUGUGAGUGUUUGUGGUAGAGAAAGUUGACGGAAAUUAUAUCUUUUUUGCUCGCCGCUAGAGUCCGAGAAAUUUGAACAAUUGCUUUGUUGUUAAUUUUAAAUUUUUUUCUGUUUUGAAAUCAGAUUCAAAAAGCAUUUUUGUCUUGCCUAUGUGUAUAAGUCCUUUUGCGUUUGUAUUUUCAGUUUGGUUGUAUCCUGACUAAAUUCUCACAAUUAUCUGUGGCUGGUUGAAAAAUUCAUUCAUAUAAAUAAUGGCUAACUUGAUCUUUUGAGAACACACAUAUUGGGAGUGUAAAUAAGGGCCAACUUGAUCUUUGGAUAGCUGCUCUUGUCCGCAUUAUGGGAUCUUGAUUCUUUUUUUCGUUUCUUUUUUCUUGGAAAGUUGACUUUUGUCUCGUUGAUUCUGUAAUAGUUUAGGCAAAUUCUGUUGUUGCUUCAAACUUUUUUUCAUUAUUUAUUAAUUAUACUUUA